rnacentral:rRNA from 1 species
CGCGGCCUAUCAGCUUGUUGGUGAGGUAACGGCUCACCAAGGCAUCGACGGGUAGCUGGUCUGAGAGGACGAUCAGCCACACUGGGACUGAGACACGGCCCAGACUCCUACGGGAGGCAGCAGUAGGGAAUCUUGCGCAAUGGGCGAAAGCCUGACGCAGCAACGCCGCGUGGGGGAAGGAGGCUCUCGGGUCGUAAACCCCUUUCAGCAGGGACGAAAUUGACGGUACCUGCAGAAGAUGGGCCGGCCAACUACGUGCCAGCAGCCGCGGUAAUACGUAGGGCCCAAGCGUUGUCCGGAUUUAUUGGGCGUAAAGAGCUCGUAGGCGGUUCAGUAAGUUGGGUGUGAAAGCUCCGGGCUCAACCCGGAGAGGCCACUCAAUACUGCUGUGACUAGAGUCCAGUAGAGGAGCGUGGAACUCCUGGUGUAGCGGUGAAAUGCGCAGAUAUCAGGAGGAACACCGGCAGCGAAGGCGGCGCUCUGGGCUGGUACUGACGCUGAGGAGCGAAAGCAUGGGUAGCAAACAGGAUUAGAUACCCUGGUAGUCCAUGCCGUAAACGUUGGGCACUAGGUGUGGGGAGGAAUCAACCCUCUCCGUGCCGUAGCUAACGCAUUAAGUGCCCCGCCUGGGGAGUACGG